AUUCCAGCUCCAAUAGCGUAUAUUAAUGUUGUUGCAGUUAAAAAGCUCGUAGUUGAAUUUCUGGUUAAAAUCUUAGCUGGCUUUGGUCGUUAAUGUUUUAAUCAUCCGUUAGAGAACUAUAACCGUCCUUAACUGGUCAUUAUAGAGAUCUAACAUUUUACUUUGAAAAAAUUAGAGUGUUCAAGGCAGGCAAUCGUCAUGAAUACUAUAGCAUGGAAUAAUGGAAUAGGACUUUGGUUCAUUUUAUUGGUUAUUGAACCUUAGUAAUGAUUAACAGGGACAGUUGGGGGUAUUCAUAUUUAAUUGUCAGAGGUGAAAUUCUUGGAUUUAUGAAAGAUGAACUCAUGCGAAAGCAUUUACCAAGGAUGUUUUCAUCA
rnacentral:rRNA from 1 species